AUGUUCAGAGGGAGAUGAUGCCACAUCUGGUCCAGCUGAUGGAAGGUCUUGAAGUUCUCUGACUGACCUCGACUGAAGAUGGUCGUCUCACUGGAUUUAAGGUUCAGAUGCUCAGUAACAAACUCCACCAAUGAGCCAACAGAUGCACAAUGAGGGACGUCUGCAGAGACUGAGAAAGAGUCUCACCACAUCCUGACAUGAGGAAAAAGACUUUAUUGAAGACUACAAUGAGAAAAACUAUCAGACAGCAGACGGCUGCAUUCAAGAGAAGAAGACCAUCAAACAUCCACGUCAGCUGAUGGAGGUCCAAGAGUCUCACUGAACAACCAACCUACAGAGUGAAGACCUCAAAUCUGAUUGGACGGCCUCCUAUUCAGCCACAUGUGUGAACAAAUGCCUCUAAGCUGAUUUGUUUUCUAAAAUAAAUCUAGUUUGAGUCCUAAUCUAUGCCUGUUUGCUUCUUUACACAGCUGUUAACAGUUUAGGCUGUUAGAUUGUUCCAGAUAAGACAAGUACAAGAUUCUUCAGAGCCGUUCUACCACGAGCCUGACAGGAAGAACUCCAACAGCUACUGAAUGUUCCUGUGGUUCCCUCAAGGCUACAGGAGGAGUCCUACGAGGACGAGCCGGUCCACCUGAUGGCGGCCAGUCGCUGCGGUUCAAAGCCAACACCGACUACGUGGACUUCUACUGGACCACAUGGAGGCCUUCAAACCGGACCAACAAGUUCAGCGACUCCCCGACUCGUGGGUCUGAGGACACCGCCGAGCCUCGGUCCAGCCGGCCUCCUGUCUGUGGGUGUUUGAGUGCUGAGAGGUUUGUGGAUGCACGUGAACGUUCUGUGUUGAAACAGCAGCUUUGGACUCAGUAACGCCAGGAAAAACCAAGAGCUCCUUUAUUUGUGACUUCCACUAAAAAA
ensembl:lncRNA